rnacentral:rRNA from 1 species
UACGUAGGUGGCAAGCGUUGUCCGGAUUUACUGGGCGUAAAGAGCGCGCAGGCGGUCGUUCAAGUCGCGUGUGAAAGCCCCCGGCUCAACUGGGGAGGGUCACGCGAUACUGAUCGACUCGAAGGCAGGAGAGGGAAGUGGAAUUCCCGGUGUAGUGGUGAAAUGCGUAGAUAUCGGGAGGAACACCAGUGGCGAAGGCGGCUACCCUGGCCCACUCUUGACGCUGAGGCGCGAAAGCUAGGGGAGCAAACGGGG